rnacentral:tRNA from 1 species
UAUAAUGUAGUUUAAUUAAAAUGUAAAUUUGUGGUAUUUGAGAUAUGUUAGUGUAUUAUUAUUG